rnacentral:rRNA from 1 species
GGAAUUGUUCGCAAUGGGCGCAAGCCUGACGACGCAACGCCGCGUGGAGGACGAAGAUCUUCGGGUCGUAAACUCCUGUCGAGCGGGAAGAAACCCGCGGGGAUGAAUAAUCCCUGCGGCUGACGGUACCGCUAAAGGAAGCACCGGCCAACUCCGUGCCAGCAGCCGCGGUAAGACGGAGGGUGCAAACGUUGUUCGGAAUCACUGGGCGUAAAGGGCGCGUAGGCGGACUUGUAAGUCGGGAGUGAAAACUCGGGGCUCAACCCCGAGCCUGCUUCUGAAACUGCGAGUCUUGAGGACCGGAGAGGAAAGUGGAAUUCCUAGUGUAGCGGUGGAAUGCGUAGAUAUUAGGAAGAACACCAGUGGCGAAGGCGACUUUCUGGACGGUUCCUGACGCUGAGGCGCGAAAGCUAGGGGAGCAAA